GGGAUUGCCUCAGUAACGGCGAGUGAAGCGGCAACAGCUCAAAUUUGAAAUCUGGCCCCUUCGGGGUCCGAGUUGUAAUUUGCAGAGGGUGCUUUUGGUGUUGGCCGUGGUCUAAGUUCCUUGGAACAGGACGUCACAGAGGGUGAGAAUCCCGUACGUGGCCGCCGGCCCUCGCCUUGUAAAGCCCCUUCGACGAGUCGAGUUGUUUGGGAAUGCAGCUCUAAAUGGGAGGUAAAUUUCUUCUAAAGCUAAAUACCCGCCAGAGACCGAUAGCGCACAAGUAGAGUGAUCGAAAGAUGAAAAGCACUUUGGAAAGAGAGUGAAAAAGCACGUGAAAUUGUUGAAAGGGAAGCGCUUGCGGCCAGACGUGCCCGCGGUUGUUCAUCUGGGCUCUCGCCCGGUGCACUCCUCCGCGGGCAGGCCAGCAUCAGUUUGGGCGGUCGGACAAAGGUCUCUAUCACGUACCACCCCUCGGGGUGGCCUUAUAGGGGAGACGCAACACGGCCAGCCUGGACUGAGGUUCCGCGCAUCUGCUAGGAUGCUGGCGUAAUGGCAGCAAGCGGCCCGUCUUGAAACACGGACCAAGGAGUCUAACAUCUAUGCGAGUGUUUGGGUGUCAAGCCCGAGCGCGUAAUGAAAGUGAACGGAGGUGGGAACCCCUCGGGGCGCACCAUCGACCGAUCCUGAUGUCUUCGGAUGGAUUUGAGUAAGAGCAUAGCUGUUGGGACCCGAAAGAUGGUGAACUAUGCCUGAAUAGGGUGAAGCCAGAGGAAACUCUGGUGGAGGCUCGCAGCGGUUCUGACGUGCAAAUCGAUCGUCAAAUUUGGGCAUA
rnacentral:rRNA from 1 species